rnacentral:rRNA from 1 species
CCUACGGGACGCAGCAGUGGGGAAUAUUGCACAAUGGGGGAAACCCUGAUGCAGCGACGCCGCGUGAGUGAAGAAGUAAUUCGUUAUGUAAAGCUCUAUCAGCAGGGAAGAAAAUGACGGUACCUGAGUAAGAAGCCCCGGCUAACUACGUGCCAGCAGCCGCGGUAAUACGUAGGGGGCAAGCGUUAUCCGGAUUUACUGGGUGUAAAGGGAGCGUAGACGGCAGUGCAAGUCUGGAGUGAAAGGCCGGGGCCCAACCCCGGGACUGCUAUGGAAACUAUUGAACUUGAGUGCAGGAGAGGUAA